GGAGCUUGCUCUUCUUGGAUGAGUUGCGAACGGGUGAGUAACGCGUAGGUAACCUGCCUUGUAGCGGGGGAUAACUAUUGGAAACGAUAGCUAAUACCGCAUAACAAUGGGUGACUCAUGUCAUUUAUUUGAAAGGGGCAAAUGCUCCACUACAAGAUGGACCUGCGUUGUAUUAGCUAGUAGGUGAGGUAACGGCUCACCUAGGCGACGAUACAUAGCCGACCUGAGAGGGUGAUCGGCCACACUGGGACUGAGACACGGCCCAGACUCCUACGGGAGGCAGCAGUAGGGAAUCUUCGGCAAUGGGGGCAACCCUGACCGAGCAACGCCGCGUGAGUGAAGAAGGUUUUCGGAUCGUAAAGCUCUGUUGUAAGUCAAGAACGAGUGUGAGAGUGGAAAGUUCACACUGUGACGGUAGCUUACCAGAAAGGGACGGCUAACUACGUGCCAGCAGCCGCGGUAAUACGUAGGUCCCGAGCGUUGUCCGGAUUUAUUGGGCGUAAAGCGAGCGCAGGCGGUUUGAUAAGUCUGAAGUUAAAGGCUGUGGCUCAACCAUAGUUCGCUUUGGAAACUGUCAAACUUGAGUGCAGAAGGGGAGAGUGGAAUUCCAUGUGUAGCGGUGAAAUGCGUAGAUAUAUGGAGGAACACCGGUGGCGAAAGCGGCUCUCUGGUCUGUAACUGACGC
rnacentral:rRNA from 1 species